rnacentral:rRNA from 1 species
ACACUCCUGCGGGAGGCAGCAGUGGGGAAUAUUGGACAAUGGGCGCAAGCCUGAUCCAGCCAUGCCGCGUGAGUGAUGAAGGCCCUAGGGUUGUAAAGCUCUUUCACCGGAGAAGAUAAUGACGGUAUCCGGAGAAGAAGCCCCGGCUAACUUCGUGCCAGCAGCCGCGGUAAUACGAAGGGGGCUAGCGUUGUUCGGAAUUACUGGGCGUAAAGCGCACGUAGGCGGAUCGAUCAGUCAGGGGUGAAAUCCCAGGGCUCAACCCUGGAACUGCCUUUGAUACUGUCGAUCUGGAGUAUGGAAGAGGUGAGUGGAAUUCCGAGUGUAGAGGUGAAAUUCGUAGAUAUUCGGAGGAACACCAGUGGCGAAGGCGGCUCACUGGUCCAUUACUGACGCUGAGGUGCGAAAGCGUGGGGAGCAAACAGGAUUAGAAACCCUUGUAGUCCCAUG